rnacentral:rRNA from 1 species
AUUGAACGCUGGCGGCAGGCCUAACACAUGCAAGUCGAGCGAGCGGCGGACGGGUGAGUAAUGUAUAGGGAUCUGCCCGAUAGAGGGGGAUAACUACUGGAAACGGUAGCUAAUACCGCAUACUAUUGGAGCGGCCGAUAUAGGAGUAGCGAGUUGGUGGGGUAAAGGCUCACCAAGGCAACGAUCCGUAGCUGGGUUGAGAGGACGAACAGCCACACUGGUACUGAGACACGGCCCAGACUCCUACGGUAGGCAGCAGUGGGUAAUUUUGGACAAUGGGGGAAACCCUUAUCCAGCCAUCCCGCGUGUAUGAGAAGGCCUUCGGGUUGUAAAGUACUUUUGGCAGAGAAGCGGGAUCUGCAGAAUAAGCACCGGCUAACUACGUGCCAGCAGCCGCGGUAAUUC